rnacentral:rRNA from 1 species
CAGGCUUAACACAUGCAAGUCGAGGGGCAGCGGGGAGGAAGCUUGCUUUCUCCGCCGGCGACCGGCGCACGGGUGAGUAACACGUAUGCAACCUGCCCCUGUCAGGGGGACAACCCGCCGAAAGGCGGGCUAAACCCGCGUACAUGCCACCGGGGCAUCCCGGAGGCAGGAAAGGCUUCGGCCGGACAGGGAUGGGCAUGCGGCGCAUUAGGCAGUAGGCGGGGUAACGGCCCACCUAACCGACGAUGCGUAGGGGUUCUGAGAGGAAGGUCCCCCACACUGGUGCUGAGACACGGACCAGACUCCUACGGGAGGCAGCAGUGAGGAAUAUUGGUCAAUGGUCGGGAGACUGAACCAGCCAAGCCGCGUGAGGGAGGAAGGUACAGAGUAUCGUAAACCUCUUUUGUCAGGGAACAAAGACUGGGACGCGUCCCCGGAUGAGUGUACCUGAAGAAAAAGCAUCGGCUAACUCCGUGCCAGCAGCCGCGGUAAUACGGAGGAUGCGAGCGUUAUCCGGAUUUAUUGGGUUUAAAGGGUGCGCAGGCGGUCUGUUAAGUCAGCGGUCAAAGCCCGGGGCUCAACCCCGGCCCGCCGUUGAAACUGGCAGUCUCGAGUUGGAGAGAAGUAUGCGGAAUGCGCGGUGUAGCGGUGAAAUGCAUAGAUAUCGCGCAGAACUCCGAUUGCGAAGGCAGCAUGCCGGCUCCACACUGACGCUGAGGCACGAAAGCGUGGGUAUCGAACAGGAUUAGAUACCCUGGUAGUCCACGCAGUAAACGAUGAAUGCUGGCUGUCCGGGGGGACUGACCCCUGGGUGGCGAAGCGAAAGCGAUAAGCAUUCCACCUGGGGAGUACGCCGGCAACGGUGAAACUCAAAGGAAUUGACGGGGGCCCGCACAAGCGGAGGAACAUGUGGUUUAAUUCGAUGAUACGCGAGGAACCUUACCCGGGCUCAAACGGGGAGUGGCGCAGGCAGAGACGCCUGUUUCCCACGGGACACUCCCCGAGGUGCUGCAUGGUUGUCGUCAGCUCGUGCCGUGAGGUGUCGGCUUAAGUGCCAUAACGAGCGCAACCCCCGCGUGCAGUUGCUAACAGUCAACGCUGAGGACUCUGCACGGACUGCCGGCGCAAGCCGCGAGGAAGGCGGGGAUGACGUCAAAUCAGCACGGCCCUUACGUCCGGGGCGACACACGUGUUACAAUGGGUGGUACAGCGGGAAGCCAGGCGGCGACGCCGAGCGGAACCCGAAAUCCACUCUCAGUUCGGAUCGGAGUCUGCAACCCGACUCCGUGAAGCUGGAUUCGCUAGUAAUCGCGCAUCAGCCAUGGCGCGGUGAAUACGUUCCCGGGCCU